UUCGCAAUGCCCGAAAGGGUGACGAUGCGACGCCGCGUGAGCGAAGAAGGCCCUAGGGUUGUAAAGCUCUGUCGAGGGUUAUGAAAUAUAGAUGGGUUAAUACCCCAUUUAUUUGACAAAAGCCCAAAAGGAAGCCACGGCUAGCUCUGUGCCAGCAGCCGCGGUAAUACAGAGGUGGCGAGCGUUGUUCGGUAUUAUUGGGCGUAAAGAGCACGUAGGUGGUUUUGUAAGUCAGGUGUGAAAGCCUUCUGUUCAAAGGAAGAACGGCAUCUGAAACUGCAGAUCUUGAGUGUAGGAGGGGAGAGUGGAACUUCUGGUGGAGCGGUGAAAUGCGUAGAUAUCAGAAGGAACGUCGGCGGCGAAAGCGACUCUCUGGCCCGUAACUGACGCUGAGUGUGCGAAAGCUAGGGGAGCAAACGGGAUUAGACACCCCGGUAGUCCUAGCCGUAAACGAUGGGCACUAAGUAGAGGGGUUUU
rnacentral:rRNA from 1 species